CAAGUGAACCUCACCAAGGUUCUGUCACCAAGGACGGUUCUAUCACCAAGGACGGCUCUAUCACCAAGGAUGGACAUAGGGCACUUGUCUCAGAUAUGUUUUAUUUGAGGAAACAACCAGGCAUCCAAUCUAGCCUUGAAGACAGAAGACUGCAGGAGAGGAAAGAGCUAAGAGCCAGAAAUGAGUCCAGAAGUUUCUGA
rnacentral:lncRNA from 1 species